rnacentral:rRNA from 1 species
UACAGAGGUCUCAAGCGUUGUUCGGAUUCAUUGGGCGUAAAGGGUGCGUAGGCGCGCGGUAAGUCGGGUGUGAAAUCUUGGAGCUUAACUCCGAAACUGCAUUCGAUACUGGAAGACUUGAGUCCGGGAGAGGUGAGUGGAACUGCGAGUGUAGAGGUGAAAUUCGUAGAUAUUCGCAAGAACACCAGUGGCGAAGGCGGCUCACUGGCCCGGUACUGACGCUGAGGUGCGAAAGCGUGGGGAGCAAACAGG